GAUGAAGAACGUAGCGAAAUGCGAUAAGUAAUGUGAAUUGCAGAAUUCCGUGAAUCAUCGAAUCUUUGAACGCAUAUUGCGCCCUCUGGUAUUCCGGAGGGCAUGCCUGUCCGAGCGUCAUUUCAACCCUCAUGCCCCUAGGGCGUGGUGUUGGGGAUCGGCCAAAGCCCGCGAGGGACGGCCGGCCCCUAAAUCUAGUGGCGGACCCGUCGUGGCCUCCUCUGCGAAGUAGUGAUAUUCCGCAUCGGAGAGCGACGAGCCCCUGCCGUUAAACCCCCAACUUUCCAAGGUUGACCUCAGAUCAGGUAGGAAUACCCGCUGAACUUAAGCAUAUCAAUAAGCGGAGGA
rnacentral:misc_RNA from 1 species